rnacentral:rRNA from 1 species
UACGGGAGGCAGCAGUGGGGAAGUAAUUGUCACAACUGGGCGGCAAGCCUGAUGCAGCCGAUGCCGCGUGUAUGAAGAAGGCCUUCGGGUUGUAAAGUACUUUCAGUCGUGAGGAAGGUGUUAAGGUUAAUAACCUUAGCAAUUGACGUUAGCGACAGAAGAAGCACCGGCUAACUCCGUGCCAGCAGCCGCGGUAAUACGGAGGGUGCGAGCGUUAAUCGGAAUUACUGGGCGUAAAGGGCACGCAGGCGGUUAAUUAAGUUGGAUGUGAAAUCCCCGGGCUUAACCUGGGAAUGGCAUUCAAGACUGGUUAGCUAGAGUCUUGUAGAGGGGGUAGAAUUCCAUGUGUAGCGGUGAAAUGCGUAGAGAUGUGGAGGAAUACCGGUGGCGAAGGCGGCCCCUGGACAAAGACUGACGCUCAUGUGCGAAAGCGUGGGGAGCAAACAGGGUUUUAGAUACC